ACACUGAUGGUGAAGCGGUUAUCAUGCUUGCCUUCCACUUCAGUGAGCAAGCGGCAGGGGUUCGACUCCCCUUCAGUGUA